AACCUGAAAUUUAUAGGUAUGAAACCCAUUUGAGCGAGAAUAGUACUAGGAUGGGUGACCUCCUAGGAAGUCCUCGUGAAAGGGUUU
rnacentral:rRNA from 2 species